UCAUCAGUUUCCUACAGAGUACUGCACGUA
rnacentral:piRNA from 1 species